rnacentral:rRNA from 1 species
UACGUAGGGUCCAAGCGUUGUCCGGAUUUAUUGGGCGUAAAGAGCUCGUAGGCGGUUCCGUAAGUCGGAUGUGAAACUCGGGCUCAACCCCGAGACGCCAUCCGAUACUGCGGUGACUUGAGUCUGGUAGGGGAACACGGAAUUCCUGGUGUAGCGGUGAAAUGCGCAGAUAUCAGGAGGAACACCGAUGGCGAAGGCAGUGUUCUGGGCCAGUACUGACGCUGAGGAGCGAAAGCGUGGGAGCAAACAGG